GACGAACGCUGGCGGCGUGCUUAACACAUGCAAGUCGAACGGAAAGGCCCUGCUUUUGUGGGGUGCUCGAGUGGCGAACGGGUGAGUAACACGUGAGUAACCUGCCCUUGACUUUGGGAUAACUUCAGGAAACUGGGGCUAAUACCGGAUAGGAGCUCCUGCUGCAUGGUGGGGGUUGGAAAGUUUCGGCGGUUGGGGAUGGACUCGCGGCUUAUCAGCUUGUUGGUGGGGUAGUGGCUUACCAAGGCUUUGACGGGUAGCCGGCCUGAGAGGGUGACCGGCCACAUUGGGACUGAGAUACGGCCCAGACUCCUACGGGAGGCAGAAGUGGGGAAUAUUGCACAAUGGGAGGAAGCCUGAUGCAGCAACGCCGCGUGCGGGAUGACGGCCUUCGGGUUGUAAACCGCUUUCGCCUGUGACGAAGCGUGAGUGACGGUAAUGUGUAAAGAAGCACCGGCUAACUACGUG
rnacentral:rRNA from 1 species